UAAGAGGGUCGGGCGGACGCUCCUUGCUGAUCUUUUCAGGGAGGGGAGGAAAGUCCGGACACUUUAGGGAAGGGUGGUCGAUAACGUCGACCUGUUGUGAAACAGGGAAAGUGCCGCAGAGAAUAGACCGCACCUUUAUGGUGCAAGGGUGAAACGGCGAGGUAAGAGCUCACCACAGCCGCGGUGACGCGGCUGGUAAGGCAAACCCCACCUAGUGCAAGGCAAACAGCGGUAUAUCAACCCUAAGAUGCCGCGGGUGGCUGCGUAGAUAAAUGUCCGCUGCUGCCGAUUGUUUUAUCGGUUGAACAGAAUCCGGCUUACAGACCCUCUUAUUAU
rnacentral:RNase_P_RNA from 1 species